UGAGGAAUAUUGGUCAAUGGUCGCUAGACUGAACCAGCCAAGUAGCGUGCGGGAUGAAGGCCCUCCGGGUCGUAAACCGCUUUUAGACGGGGAUAAAAGGGCGUACGUGUACGCCGUAUUGCAUGUACCGUCAGAAAAAGGACCGGCUAAUUCCGUGCCAGCAGCCGCGGUAAUACGGAAGGUCCGGGCGUUAUCCGGAUUUAUUGGGUUUAAAGGGAGCGUAGGCGGACUUUCAAGUCAGUGGUAAAAUCGUGUGGCUCAACCAUACCUCGCCAUUGAAACUGGAAGUCUGGAGUGCACACAGGGGUGCCGGAAUUCAUGGUGUAGCGGUGAAAUGCUUAGAUAUCAUGAAGAACUCCGAUCGCGAAGGCAAGUGCCCGGGGUGCAACUGACAUUGAGGCUCGAAAGUGUGGGUAUCAAACAGGAUUAGAUACC
rnacentral:rRNA from 1 species